rnacentral:rRNA from 1 species
GACGAACGCUGGCGGCGUGCUUAACACAUGCAAGUCGAACGGAAAGGCCCUGCUUUUGUGGGGUGCUCGAGUGGCGAACGGGUGAGUAACACGUGAGUAACCUGCCCUUGACUUUGGGAUAACUUCAGGAAACUGGGGCUAAUACCGGAUAGGAGCUCCUGCUGCAUGGUGGGGGUUGGAAAGUUUCGGCGGUUGGGGAUGGACUCGCGGCUUAUCAGCUUGUUGGUGGGGUAGUGGCUUACCAAGGCUUUGACGGGUAGCCGGCCUGAGAGGGUGACCGGCGCCAUGGGGACUGGGAGACGGUCCGGACUACUCGGGGAGGGAGAAGUGGGGAAUGUUGCGCAAGGGGGCGAAGCCUGAUGCGGCAACGCCGCGUGCGGGAGGAGGGCGAUGGGGUUGGAAAAAGCAUCCGCCUGUGACGAAGCGUGAGUGACGGUAAUGGGUAAAGAAGCAACGGCUAACUACGUG